rnacentral:rRNA from 1 species
AGAGUUUGAUCAUGGCUCAGGACGAACGCUGGCGGCGUGCUUAACACAUGCAAGUCGAACGAGGUCCACGGUGUAGCAAUACACCUGAAGACCUAGUGGCGAACGGGUGCGUAACACGUGAGGAACUUGUCCCGGUCUCUGGGAUAACAGUUGGAAACGACUGCUAAUACCGGAUGACGUCGGAGCAUCGCAUGGUGCGCUGACGAAAGGGUUACUGGAUCGGGAGAGCCUCGCGGCCUAUCAGCUUGUUGGUGGGGUAACGGCCCACCAAGGCAUCGACGGGUAGCUGGUCUGAGAGGAUGAUCAGCCACACUGGGACUGAGACACGGCCCAGACUCCUACGGGAGGCAGCAGUGGGGAAUCUUGCGCAAUGGGCGAAAGCCUGACGCAGCAACGCCGCGUGCGGGAUGAAGGCUCUCGGGUUGUAAACCGCUUUCAGCAGGAACGAAAAUGACGGUGCUGCAGAAGAA